rnacentral:rRNA from 1 species
UACGUAGGGUGCGAGCGUUGUCCGGAAUUACUGGGCGUAAAGAGCUCGUAGGUGGUUUGUCGCGUCUGCUGUGAAAACCCGAGGCUCAACCUCGGGCCUGCAGUGGGUACGGGCAGACUAGAGUGCGGUAGGGGAGAUUGGAAUUCCUGGUGUAGCGGUGGAAUGCGUAGAUAUCAAGAGGAACACCUGAGGUGAAGACGGGUUGCUGGGCUGACACUGACGCUGAGGCGCGAAAGCUAGGGGAGCAAACGGG